CUCCUCUCAGGGUGGCACCUGGAGAGAUUCCAGUACUCUACCAGUCUCAGAUGUGGGAGGGACAGUCAAGCAGAGGCCUAUCCUUUCCAUUCCUAGCUUGGGCAGUGGCUAGCGAGCGGAAGGCAGUCCGCUACAAGU